GGACACCCGGGAACUCUCGGGAAGAGCCGACUAUGAAGGUCCCAGCGUGUGGGACGAUUCGCGGGCGUGCGCGGAUGUUGUCGCAGGCGUUUAGCGGUAUCAGCUCAGCGCCGAAGUUGCCGCGCCGAUGGGAACGUCCUGAUAGGAAAGCUCUGAGACGUGUGGGACUGAAAAAACGUUGAGGACCUUUGCACUGUGCCAGGAGCCUCCAAGGUUAUAGAGGAUGUGAUUUGUGUUUCUGGGGCUUGAGAACAGUGUAAAACAAUACGUAGGUCCAAGCCUAAGUCCAUAAGCUGUGCCUCGCUUUAUGACAUAGGUGGAUGCUAACCAAGAUCAUAUAGUUUUAAAGCUGGAACUGAAUUCAUUAUCUUCCCCAACUCCCACCCCGCUUCUUCGUUCAGUAAAUGCACCAGCAUCAGAGAAUGUGUCUGGACACUGAAAUCUGCCCAGAGCCUAUGGAGUAGAGGAGAAGAUCACUAAACCAGUGGCUUUCACGCUUCUGUUUCUGUGACCAGUGAGCGUGGCAAACCUUCCAGAGUAAUUGAAAUACAAAGAGAAGAGGUGUUGUCUGGAAGAAUAAGCCAUCUGACUGGAGAGAAGAGCAAAAGAGGAAAUCGUAGAAGGACCCCAUUGUCAUGAUAACAGUUGCUUCAGUUUUCCUCCAGGACUAAUGCACCGGGAUCAGACAGAUGAGAAUUCUCAGAAACAGUCAGGUGAUCACCCAUCUGAAAGAGGAGACAUGCUACUUACCCCAAUGGAGCAGUGGUUUGUGCAGUGGGCCUCACUCAUGUAACUGAAGAUUCCCCAGUAGAGAAAAAGGACCAGGAGAAAAGGCCAUAUCACAAAAGCCUCUCAGCCGCAUUUGGCCCGUUGGGACAACGCUCUGGGUUGACACAACUUCCUGCCUCAGCUUCCGUGGAUGUGCGGGAUCCAGGAGGCCAAGACCUCCUCCUGCCUCUCCAGAGAAGAGGCCUCAGUCAGCAGAGGGUCUCCACCAGAACAGCUCCUCUCCCGAAGCACGCUGGCGUCUCAAGGAGCCGAUAGCAGCUUCCGGACUCCGCUGAUUCAGCCCUGGCCCGCCUGCUCCUGGAGGAUGCUUGAUCAUGUCAGCUUCCUGGCUUUAGCCUACCAUGCUUGUGUCUAUUCCUGUACCCUCUCUUACGGAAUUUCUUCCCAUCCAAACUGAGCAGUCGGGGAAGGAAGUCAAGCAGUCUCUGCUGUAAAACCCUGAAGCAUCCCGAGCUCUCCCAGACUCAGUGACCCCUCCUGCUAACAGAAAGACGGAUGCCAAAGCGCUGGCCCAGGAUCUUUUCCUGAAACACAGCCCUGCUUUCUACUUCUGCAUCUCUGCUCAAUUCUGCACAGAGAACAAAGGGAUUUUUAUGGAGGCAGACACACCCCACAUUCCUAGUUUACAGAAUUUAUUUUUAACCAGAACUGCAUUUAGAAAUAUGUGAGCAAUCAUACUAGUAAUAAUAGACGGAAGAGGAGAAGUAUGUGUGGAUUCAUCUUCCUGGGUAUGUGUGGCUCCAGUUAAUAUUUAAAAUGGUCUCAAGUUCUCAGAGCACACACUGACUGUCUGAUGGGGGAGGCGGUGAGGAGAGAGACAGGUAGGAGUGGGAAAGCUGACCUAGGAUUAAAAAUUAAUUGUGCUCAAUUUUUAAAUGAAAUCGUUGUAGGCAGAUGGCUAUGAAUUUUAAUAUGAUUUUGUAUUUAACUCUUUUUUUUUGAGGAGAUUUAAACUCUAUUAUUCACCAACUAGGCAAUUUAUGAACUCACAUUUCGGCUUUAAUUCUACCUCAUCACAAGUAGAAUUACAGGGCUGGAAAAACUCCACCAAUCAUCCUCUGUUGGAAAGAACCACACCCAAAGCCAACCAGGGCAACAGGGAUCCCUAACACAUUUUUUAAGACUUCUAAUUUAAGGUAUUCCACGGCCAGUCUCCCUUGGGAGCCAAUUCUGGUGUUCCACUCUUCCAUUCAGUCAGCCCCUGCUGUGCUUCCUCUUUCUCUGCUUCAUGGGGCUGCGGAGACAGAGGAACCAUCCCCAUCCCAGGCUCCUUCGGGGGCCCGCAGGCCUGUUCCACGGACUGUGAAGUGCAUCAGGCCACAGCCCUGGGCCAGAUGGGGAGAACGGUAAAUAGGGAGGGCCCUUCCCACUUUGGGUAUAGGAACUAACCUGAUUUCAGAGGCUGGUCCCACAAGGGUGUUUGGUCUAUGUCAGGGCCCAAAGAGAAAGGAAAGACUGGGCAAGGAGUGGUACUACAGGGUCCUCAUUGGAUGGUGUUGGAGGACAUGCAGCCACAGUAAUGCAAGGAUUGUCUCCAGUAGGGAUGUGGUCCUGGAAGAGCUGAGCAUUCAUAAAGGGUAUCAGCAAAUGGAUGAGGGCACAGAGAGGAGUAUGCUUUCUUUUGGGGAAAGAAAUCAGCAAGAAGAAGGCCAGGUAUCAGGACCCUGCGUCAGUAAGCUGGAGGGCAGAAUAAUUAUCAAGUUCUAGAGGGGGGCGCACCUGGGUGGCUCAGUCGGUUAAGCGUCUGCCUUC